AAUGAAGUGCCUGAUUAAAGGGCUACCUUGAUAGGGUAGAUCAAGCGGGCAAUCCCUGCCUUCAUUA
rnacentral:tRNA from 1 species